rnacentral:lncRNA from 1 species
CCGCCGCCGCCGAGCCUACCAUUUCCAAUUCCGCUGAGGCGCGAGCACGCAAGCAGUGAACAGGCCGGUCCGACACGUAACGGGGCCCACAGUUACUGCUCCGCCGCACCGCGAUUCAAACUGCGCUGUCUCCCGCCUUCCCCGCUGCCUUUAUACUGCAGAAUGUUCCCUCAUCCGGGAACUCGGGCUGUUCGUCCCACCAAUGGCCGCUGCCCGCCCUCAGGACUCCUCAGCCUAUGAGCAGGGGAGAGACAAGGCGGAGGGGCGGGCACUCCCGAACUCGAGCUGCGAUUGGCGGUGGGUAGCGAGUGGGGGAAGGCGACGGCUGGGAACCGGGAGCUAAGGGCUGGCAGCGGGCGGGGAGGCGCGCGAGGGCGGCGCGGUCACGNNNNNNNNNNNNNNNNNNNNNCAGUCCCCGUCGUCCCCGCGCCCCGCGCAGUGACGCCGACAGGUGCCGUGUCGUCUGGAGCCCGACGUCCAGGGCUGCGCCCAAGCCUUCUGUCUGAGCCGAUUUAGGAGAACGCAGAGCUUCAGCCGUCAGGCUACGUGAUGGUCAGCGGUGCGGGUCGUGGGUCGGGCCCGGUGUGCUGCUCAUGGUGCACGUAUUUCGGCCAGCGUGGUGCUGGGUGCUGUGCACAGUCCUCCCGACCCCAACACCGUGCUGGGUGCUGCGCACGUUGCCCUGUCUUCUGGCCAACACCGUGGGUGCUGCGCCCGGUCCCCCGUCCAACACCGUGCUGGGUGCUGUGCACAGUCCUUGUGUCUUUCGGCCAACAUCGUUGGUGCUGCGUACAGUUCCGUCCUCUGGGCGACAUCGUACACAGUGGAACGGCCACCAGGCUUCAGGUUGAGUGUCAGUUGGAGAGGAUUUGUCAGGCCACGGGACUUCUGCCUUCCUGGAAAAGUUCAAAGUGAAAAAAGAAAUGAGCUGAAACAGCAGCGGAUGGUAUCACUGUGUAUGGAAGAAAAGCAUCCAGUCUUGCCACGCAGUCAUAUGGGCGUCCUAGCUCAGGACCUGUCUAAUUGGAUCACGGUUUGCCCUUGCUUUUGUGGUUUUCUCUUAAAAUAAAGAAUAACCUCAAUAUCUGAUUUCAACCAACCAGGCUGGGAUCUCAAUAAAAAGACUCUGUUGUUUGAAAUUGUGCUGUCUUUAAUAGCUACAUCUCUCUAUGUGAAUGCUUUCGUUGUAAAUUUUGUUUUCCUCGGGCUUCAGUACACCAAUACACAGGGAACCGUGCAAGCGUUCCUGGGAACAACACAC